rnacentral:tRNA from 1 species
UAAAUUGAAGCCAAAUGUAUAGGCGCUUAGCUGUUAACUAAGAGUUAGUAGGGUAAGAACCUUCCAAUUUAG